rnacentral:rRNA from 1 species
UACAGAGGUCCCGAGCGUGGUUCGGAUUCAUUGGGCGUAAAGGGUGCGUAGGCGGUCUGCUAAGUUUGAUGUGAAAUCCCGGGGCUCAACCCUGGAAUGGCAUUGAAUACUGGCGGACUAGAGUACCGGAGAGGAAACUGGAAUUUACGGUGUAGCAGUGAAAUGCGUAGAGAUCGUAAGGAAGACCAGUGGCGAAGGCGAGUUUCUGGACGGUAACUGACGCUGAGGCACGAAGGCCAGGGGAGCAAACGGG